ACGUAGGGUGCGAGCGUUAAUCGGAAUUACUGGGCGUAAAGCGUGCGCAGGCGGUUACAUAAGCCAGAUGUGAAAUCCCCGGGCUUAACCUGGGAACUGCAUUUGGGACUGUGUGGCUUGAGUAUGGCAGAGGGAGGUGGAAUUCCACGUGUAGCAGUGAAAUGCGUAGAGAUGUGGAGGAACACCGAUGGCGAGGGCAGCCUCCUGGGCCAAUACUGACGCUCAUGCACGAAAGCGUGGGGAGCAAACAGGAUUAGAUACCCUGGUAGUCCACGCCCUAAACGAUGUCGACUAGUUGUUGGGGGCUAUAUGCCCUUAGUAACGCAGCUAACGCGUGAAGUCGACCGCCUGGGGAGUACGGCCGCAAGGUUA
rnacentral:rRNA from 1 species